rnacentral:rRNA from 1 species
UACGUAGGGGGCUAGCGUUGUCCGGAUUUAUUGGGCGUAAAGAGCGUGUAGGCGGCCAGAUAGGUCUGCUGUGAAAACUCGAGGCUCAACCUCGAGAUGUCGGCGGAAACCAUUUGGCUAGAGUCCGGAAGAGGAAAGUGGAAUUCCAGGUGUAGCGGUGAAAUGCGUAGAUAUCUGGAGGAAUACCGGUGGCGAAGGCGGCAUCCUGGACCGACAUUGACGCUGAUGAGCGAAAGCUAGGGGAGCAAACGGG